ensembl:processed_transcript Platr14 pluripotency associated transcript 14
GGUCUUUUGGAAUGGGGACAGCAUAUAUGUAAGAUGUAGCUGCUAGAGUUUCCCGGUAUCAUGGCGGAUGUGUAAGGAUUCGCCACCAGAGGAAUCAGAUUUUAAUAAGGCUUACAAGAUUAGGUUUUAGUUGUUGUGCCCAGAGAUUGAGUUACCAUUGUUUCUGAACUAAGUUUGUGUUGGCUUUCCCUUCACACAGUGGGGGCGGCUCAUCUGGGUUCAAGAGAGAAAGGGUUCAGACUACAAACUGCUUCUGUGUGACUAAGAGAAGAAGAAUCAGAGUAAAGAGAAACAUACUCUCUUAAUCUCCGAAGAUUAACGGCAGGAGGAGCUCUAGAAUUUCACAAAGGUGCUGUCAGGACACAUGAAAAUCUAGAGAAAAAGACCAGCUUGAAGAGACCAAAAAGAAGAAAGCCUGCCAAUCACAAUCCUCCAGAGAUUCUGAGACACACACACCCCUGGUGUAGGGGGACACCAUCUGAAAGGUGACACCCACUCUACGGAAUAUAAGUACCAGCUAAAGAGGACACACACUUGAAGAAAAAGGAGACAAUGAGGUCUUGUGAAUGCUCUAAUUUUUCAAAGCUUACUUUUAAUGAUGGUUCUUAAACGCUUUAACCUCCCUUCUAGUCCACCACCCACCAAAGGUAGUGAAAAGAAAGGUGAUUAGGAUACAGA